CAGAAAUUCCCUAAAAAGGACCAAAAGAUUGACAACCUAACAUUCUUAACUAAUAAUUAAACUAAAUUUCU
rnacentral:tRNA from 1 species